GACAGAGGUGCCGAGCGUUAGGCGGAAUCACUGGGCUUAAAGCGCGUGUAGGCGGCCAGGUAGGUCAGUUGUGAAAACUCGGGGCUCAACCCCGAGACGUCGAUUGAAACCCUCUGGCUAGAGUCCGGAAGAGGAGAGCGGAAUUCCUGGUGUAGCGGUGAAAUGCGCAGAUAUCAGGAAGAACACCCGUGGCGAAGGCGGCUCUCUGGGACGGUACUGACGCUGAGACGCGAAAGCGUGGGGAGCGAACAGG
rnacentral:rRNA from 1 species